rnacentral:rRNA from 1 species
ACACAUGCAAGUCGAACGAGAAAGUUCCCUUCGGGGGGCGAGUAAAGUGCGGACGGGUGAGUAACACGUGGGUAAUCUGCCCUUGAGUGGGGAAUAACUUGGGAAACCGAAGCUAAUACCGCAUACGAUCCUUCGGGAUGAAAGCUUAUGCGCUCAAGGAUGAGCCCGCGGUCGAUUAGCUAGUUGGUGGGGUAAUGCUCACCAAGGCUACGAUCGAUAGCCGGCCUGAGAGGGCACACGGCCACCUGGCACUGAGACACGGGCCAGACUCCUACGGGAGGCAGCAGUGGGGAACUUGGUCAAUGGGGGAAACCCUGAACCAGCGACGCCGCGUGACCGAUGAGGCCCUCGGGUCGUAAAGGUCUUUCGACGGGGACUAUAAUGAAGGUACCGUAAAAGCAGGAGCGGCUAACUAUGUGCCAGCAGCCGCGGUA